rnacentral:lncRNA from 1 species
AUGGGCAUCCCACCUAGCAAGCCACCGGGCACUGCCAACCCCUCCUGGCAGCUCAAACCUCCGCUCUGCCCCAUCCCCAUCCCAAACCCCAUCCCCAUCCCCAUGCCCCCGGCUUGCACCAGCCUGGGACAGGGGGGCUACGAGCCCCUGUUCUCCCCCCUCAGUGCCAGGACAGGCUCCACACGUGUUGUCCCCGCACGUGGAGGACCACAAGUGCUGGUAGCCCUGCGGGAUGUGGGUGAGCAAGGCCCGUGGCGAGGCGCGUGCCGCCGGAGGCUCACCCCGCCAAGGCUCCCCCUGCUCCCCGCCGUGCCGGGGGAAGAUGCUUUCCGUGUGAGCGCAUCCUCUCGCCCGGAAACUUUCCGCUGGCCCAGCCACCCGGCCGCUCGCUGCCAAGAGCUGCGGCCGAGACGGUUCCCAGCUGGCAGCAGGGGCAGGCAGCCACCGCCGCGGGGUCACGACCAGCUCCUCCACCACCCAGCUGGGGGACAGCCAGGGGACACGGGGCGGCUGCCACGAGGUGACCCAAAACACACAACCCGCUGGCACGGGUGGUGGAAAGGCAGCAGGAGCACUCCCAACCUGCUGCUGCGGGCACGAGAGCCACCCCCAGACAAGGACCCUGAGAGUUUUGGGGGCUGCGGGGCAGGCUCCUUCGGCAGCAGGGGUGGUUUUAGGGUUUUGAUGCACCAGAGCCCUGGGAGAAAGGCAGAUCCAUGGGGCAGGGCAGGAAGCCCCCCGCCGCCAGGCCCAGGUGCGCAGCCCACAUCACAGCCCCGCGCGGGGCCGGGAACGGGGCCGGGGUGGGAACGGGGCCGCCCUUCCCGCAGCCCAACAAGGGCCCCGCUGUUCGGGGCCAUGCAUGUAAACAGGGGCCCUGCCAGCACAUUCCAGCCCUUCCCUGCCCCUCCUGCCGCUCACCCACCGCCCCGCAGGGGGGAAAGCCCCUGCAGAGGCUGGGGGACGCGGCACACACGUGGCACACGCCAAGGGAGAUGCAGGGAGGAGAAGCUGGGCACCCUGCGCUGCUGUGUGCCCUCCUCACAGGCCAGGCGAGGCAAAAUAAAUGGUAUUUAUUAG